CGUCGCGAGGCGGAGUCUGAAGGAAGCCGGAGGCGAAACCUCGGCCCGAGGAACACGAACCGCAUCAGGCGGGCGCGGCGGGUGAGAUGGCCAAACACAUCGAAGCCCGAUGGCUGCACGGAAGCCACGCACGUAAAUGCGGCGGGUAUUGAGGGGAAGGGUG
rnacentral:ncRNA from 1 species